rnacentral:lncRNA from 1 species
CUUCUAAUGUAUUUGUAUAUUUACAGCAUGAAGAUCAUACACUACAUAUUCUACAUCACAUUAUGCCAUGAGUGUAUUACUGGACAUUUUUUUCAAAGAUUAGAUGGGAACAAAACAUUCCUUCAUGUAUCAUUCACAGAAGCGGUGGCUGUUCCACAAAUAUUUGUUGAGUGCCUGCAAUGCUCCAGGUGUGUGUGGCUGUUCAAGGCUCCUCUGAGUUGGCAGCUGCCAGUGGAACAAAUGGGAAAAUCAGUGCUUGCAGUGUAAGAGGGAUUUCUGUACUUUUCAGAGGCCCCUCCUGAUUUCCAGGUUCACAGCUGGGCCAGGUAACUGAGUUUGCCUCCUAGAAGGAGGAGCACUUCUGUAUUUCAGAUGGCGAUAUGGGUCUGGGUGCUGGACAGAAGCUAAAUAUUUCCACAAAUCAUAGGCUUCUGGUGGGGUCACAGAACUGAGAAAUCAGAUGACCUUCCAGACACACUCUCCGACCCUUCUCCUCCCUGGACUCCAACUUGCCAGUCUGAUAACGUGUGCCUGCUUCCCCACAGAUAUGGACCAAAUUCCACAAAUUCCAUGUAUUGCCCUAGGAAAAUAUUCCCCCUGGAAAAAGAGAUCCUGUGGUUUCACAGGGGCCUUUGCUUGGCUCCUUCCCAGGUCCAUAGUCCAGAGCCAAUGGAAC